rnacentral:rRNA from 1 species
UGUAAGCGUAUACCAAAGUUGUUGCGGUUAAAACGCUCGUAGUCGGAAUUUGGCAGUUCCGGAUGUGUGCACGUCGUGUGCGCACUUCGCGGGGAUUGCUUUUGUGGUCUUGCGUAGGAUGAGGCACUUUUAUUAGUGAACGUCCUCACGCAACCACUUUUUACUGUGAGAAAAUCAGAGUGCUCAGAGCAGGCAUUUGCCGUGAAUGUAUUAGCAUGGAAUAAUAGAAUAGGACUUGGUUCUAUUUUGUUGGUUUGUUGGGACUGAGUAAUGAUUAAGAGGGACAGUUGGGGGCAUUUGUAUUUCGGUGCUAGAGGUGAAAUUCUUAGAUUACCGAAAGACAAACUGCUGCGAAAGCGUCUGCCAAGGAUGUUUUCAUUGA